rnacentral:rRNA from 1 species
AGUGAACGCUGGCGGUAGGCCUAACACAUGCAAGUCGAACGGCAGCACAGAGGAGCUUGCUCCUUGGGUGGCGAGUGGCGGACGGGUGAGGAAUACAUCAGAAUCUACUCUGUCGUGGGGGAUAACGUAGGGAAACUUACGCUAAUACCGCAUACGACCUACGGGUGAAAGCAGGGGACCUUCGGGCCUUGCGCGAUUGAAUGAGCCGAGGUCGGAUUAGCUAGUUGGCGGGGUAAAGGCCCACCAAGGCGCCGAUCCGUAGCUGGUCUGUGAGGAUGAUACACUACACGAGAACUGAGACACGUUCCAGACGCCUACGGGAGGCAGCAGUGGGGAAUAUUGGGCAAUGGGCGCAAGCCUGAGCCAGCCAUACAGCGUGGGUGAAGAAGGCCUUCGGGUUGUAAAGCCCUUUUGUUGGGAAAGAAGUCCAGCGGGCUAAUACCCGGUUGGGAUGACGGUACCCAAAGAAUAAGCACCGGCUAACUUCGUGCCAGCCGCCGCAGUAA